rnacentral:rRNA from 1 species
UAAGCAUAUCAAUAAGCGGAGGAAAAGAAACCAACAGGGAUUGCCUUAGUAGCGGCGAGUGAAGCGGCAAAAGCUCAAAUUUGAAAUCUGGCUCUUUCAGAGUCCGAGUUGUAAUUUGAAGAAGGUAUCUUUGGGUCUGGCUCUUGUCUAUGUUUCUUGGAACAGAACGUCACAGAGGGUGAGAAUCCCGUGCGAUGAGAUGAUCCAGGCCUAUGUAAAGUUCCUUCGAAGAGUCGAGUUGUUUGGGAAUGCAGCUCUAAGUGGGUGGUAAAUUCCAUCUAAAGCUAAAUAUUGGCGAGAGACCGAUAGCGAACAAGUACAGUGAUGGAAAGAUGAAAAGAACUUUGAAAAGAGAGUGAAAAAGUACGUGAAAUUGUUGAAAGGGAAGGGCUUGAGAUCAGACUUGGUAUUUUGUAUGUUACUUCUUCGGGGGUGGCCUCUACAGUUUAUCGGGCCAGCAUCAGUUUGGGCGGUAGGAGAAUUGCGUUGGAAUGUGGCACGGCUUCGGUUGUGUGUUAUAGCCUUCGUCGAUACUGCCAGCCUAGACUGAGGACUGCGGUUUAUACCUAGGAUGUUGGCAUAAUGAUCUUAAGUCGCCCGUCUU